rnacentral:rRNA from 1 species
AGUGAACGCUGGCGGCAUGCCUUACACAUGCAAGUCGAACGGCAGCACGGGGCAACCUGGUGGCGAGUGGCGAACGGGUGAGUAAUGCAUCGGAACGUACCUUUCAGUGGGGGAUAACGUAGCGAAAGUUACGCUAAUACCGCAUAUUCUGUGAGCAGGAAAGCAGGGGAUCGCAAGACCUUGCGCUGAUUGAGCGGCCGAUGUCAGAUUAGCUAGUUGGUGAGGUAAAGGCUCACCAAGGCGACGAUCUGUAACGGGUCUGAGAGGAUGAUCCGCCAGACUAGAACUGAGACACGGCCCAGACUCCUACGGGAGGCAGCAGUGGGGAAUUUGGGACAAUGGGGGCAACCCUGAUCCGGCCAUGCCGCGUGAGUGAAGAAGGCCUUCGGGUUGUAAAGCUCUUUCGGACGGGAAGAAAUCGCACGGGCUAAUACCCUGUGUGGAUGACGGUACCGGAAUAAGAAGCACCGGCUAACUACGUGCCAGCCGCCGCCGUAA